rnacentral:rRNA from 1 species
UUGUUGCUGGCUCCUUGGAGCAUGUGCACGCUUGUCAUUUUUACUUCAUUCUCUCCACUGUGCACCAACUGUAGGUCUGGAGUUUUGAUCAAGGACUGCUGUGCUUUCCUUGCAUCUUCCAGGGUCUAUGUUUUUUUUACAAUCCCUCAAUGUGUUUUGGAAUGUUGAAUUGUAUAAUACAACUUUCAGCAACGGAUCUCUUGGCUCUCGCAUCGAUGAAGAACGCAGCGAAAUGCGAUAAGUAAUGUGAAUUGCAGAAUUCAGUGAAUCAUCGAAUCUUUGAACGCACCUUGCGCCCUUUGGCUAUUCCGAAGGGCAUGCCUGUUUGAGUAUCAUGAGCACCUCAACUCUCGUGGUUUGCUACGAUGAGCUUGGACUCUGGGGGUUUUGCCGGCCUGUGGUUGGCUCCUCUCAAAUGAAUCAGCUUCCCAGUGUUUGGUGGAGCCGCAGGUGUGAUAACUAUCUACGCUUGUGGUUUUUCACCAGAUAACCUUCGGUGACGGAGGUUCGCUGGGGCUCAUAAAUGUCUCUCCUCAGUGAAGACAGCUUUUGAACGUUCGAUCUCAAAUCAGGUAGGACUACCCGCUGAACUUAAGCAUAUCAAU